ACUAAUUCAAGUUAUUAAUGCUGUAGUCAGCAAAUUACAAGAACGUGUUCAACAAGUGGAACUUCUAAAUCCUAGUGGUGCUUCAGAUGAAGAUAUUGUGAGUAUAUAAUUGUAAACCGUGCUUUCAAAAAUCAAGUUUAACUAAACACUACAUUGUCUUUUUUCUUAGAUGUAUUGAGCCAAAAUGUUGUUAUGUGAAGACCCAAUCUUCAAGAAAGGAUUGAAAUUUGACCAGUGUGGCUUGCGCUUAAAGAUAUCAGAAAAUAUAGUGAUGACAAUGACACAGCUAUAGCAACGUAUCACAAGCAAAAUGGUGUCAACAUUCCAUCAACACAUCCAAAUUCAUUGAUGUUUGAAGACCACACGUCAACACAAUCAACAUCUCUUGAAUUAUCUUCGUUUUCUCUACUUAUAAAUGAAGAUAAUGUUGAUGAGACGUCUUCUCAACACCCAUAGGGGCGAAAAAAGCAAAACUGAAAGGGAAAAAUGACAAAGAAAAUAAAAAAUGUAUUGAAUCCACUAAGCAAGAAAAUUGGCUACUCGUCGAAGUUUAAAAAAAAAAGCAGUUAGGAAAGACAAGAGGCGUGCGAAAUCCAAAAAAGAAAACUGGCAAUGACAGAAUAUCAAGAGGAGAACAAAAUAUUAAUGAAAGAUUUGAAUGUGAUAAUAGAUCCGAAUCUACGUGAGUUAUUCCAAAAUGAACAAGCAAGAAUCUUGCAAAAGAGAACUCAAGGAGGUAAAGGAUAUGAAAGUUCAUCUGGUUUGUUUGGUAAUUAUUUUGAUGACAUUGGAGGAAUAGGAAGUGAUCUACCAGAUUACUAAGCUAUUCACUUGAUUUAUGUAUCGUUCAAUAAUGUUUGUAUGUGGC
rnacentral:lncRNA from 1 species